AUGGCGCUCAGGGUUCAGAAGGGAAAAACAGCAGUGGAGGCAGCUGUGAGGAAGGGAAGCUUCUUACCUGGUGUCACCUACCCCGAGAAAAGAGAGCAAGCGUGUUCCUGGCCUAAGCCUGGAGAAGAGCGAGAUGGUGAGAAGAAGCCGGCAUUUGGGGAAGGGGAUGUACCUGGUGGGAAGAGAGGGGGCAAGGUGUCCCAGCGAGUUGCUGCAUUCCAGCAGGGCAGGGUCCAGCUGCAGAGAGGGUCUGUCUCUGCCUCCUCCCCUCUUCUCCUGGAGCCUGUUAAAUCUGUGACACGUCAGAGCACUAAACCCACCAACUGGAGGUACCUGGGGACCAAAGGUGGCUGCAACCUGCCCACAGCAGAGCUGCCAGUGAAGGAAAAUGAGGCCUGUAGGUCUCUCUCACCACUGAGUACAUCCAACAAAGGUGGCACAAAGCCUGCAGUGACAGAUGACAAGCUUGAACAGACCACAGCCACCCCAGCCACUGCAGGAGGCAAGCAUCAUUUUGGAGAGAGAAUGAACCACCCACAGCCGGUCUGUGUGCCAGGAGAGCUUGAAACCAGAAACAUCACAAAUAUGGAGCCAAAAUACAGAGCUGAGGGGGAUGAUCCCCCUGAAUACAAGGCUGAAGACCAAGCUUUCUGCCUCUCUGGUGUGCCAGGGACCCCCAGUGUAGCAUCCAGCUCCCUGGAGCCAGGAGGACUGAGUGCAUCACCUGAGAUAGCUGAGCUGGUGAAUGAGAAAUCCAAGACAAAAAACGAUGAGUUUCCUGGGAAACAAACACCAGUAAGUUUGGAGGAAAACAUGAUGCUAUCCAGUGUAAGUCAUUUGCCUGAGGUUGAGAGCAAAGGGGUGGAAUAUGAGAAUACCAAAGAAAUGAAACCAGUAAGCACAUCAGGGUCUCUGGAAGAACCCAGUCCUGAGCACACAUCUCAGGAAGAGACACCAAAAAAGAACAGAGUCCCUUCACAUGGUUUGCCAGAGAAGACAGAUGACCACGAUAUGCCCGAUCUACAAGAAACAGAACCUCAGGCCACGUGUAGCCCACUGAUGGCUAACCCUCACGGGGAUAUUUUGGUACAUGAUGUAAAAUCACCUGGCAAGGAUUUUCCAGUAUCAGCAGACGUGCCUUUGAAAGGAACUUGCACCACUUGGCCCUCACCUGAUGAAGCUGACAACUCCAAAUCAAAGGAUCCAAGUGAAGUUCUUGGUGGAAACAUCUUUAACAUUUCUGAGCAACCAGUCAAGAAAUUAGACUCUUCCAAACUGAACGAAUCCUCAGACAAAUAUGGGGGUCAUCCAGAGGGUGAGGAAAAAAUGGAUCUGAAACACCCAGGUGAAAGCACUGUGCAUACAUCAAGACCUGGUGACCAAAGCAAAGAGACCAGAAGCAGUCGAGCCAGGACAGAGGUGCCGGGUAAAGGUUUCAGGCUUGGGAAAAACCCCUUCACUACACUUUUUGGUUCUGAAGACAAAGCCAAUGUUCCCAAGAAGGAAACAAGCCAAAGGAAACCCACUAAGCCCCAAUCAGCCCUUGUCACUUUGUUUGGUUACUCCUCAGAGAAGAAGCAGAGUCAACAAGAAAAUCCUGCAAGAUCCUCAGAACAAACAAAUACUGAAGACAAGCAGGAAAAGCCCCAGGGCCUCUUCAGCUCCUCCAGCCAAGCAAAACAAAAGGCCUCCAAAAAUGAUCAGCUGCCACAGCCAGGGAAGACAGAGGUCAUCCCCAAAGAUAUGCAGGAGAGUUCUGGAGGCUGCUUAGAUACCACUGAGGGCAAUGAGACAAAUAUUUUGUUGUUUCCUCCUGGUACAAACAUUUCAUGUGAUGAUAAACAUGAGAAAACUGAACUUGACAUUCGUGACCAACCAGCUUUAGACAGGCAGGUUCAGCAGCAACAGGACAGCUGUUGGCCCUCUCUCAUGCCAGCACAGGAAAAUCAGAAAGAAGAUGCAGCAGACUUUGAAGGUGGAACAAACCCUUUCCAUCCUUCUCCAGAGCUUACGCCUGCAGCUGAUAACAGCAAAAAAGUCAUCAGGGAAGGAAGUCAUUGUGAUGCUCAUCUACUGGAAAGUCAGCACUUACUGAGUUUGGAUAUCCAGAACACAAUGGUAGAAGAUGGGAUUUUUUCUUCGUCAAGCAAUUUAAGAAAACUACCCAAGGAAGCUGAGCUUCAGUUAGACAACAGGGAUCUUCUGGAAGACAGUAACGUUUUCCUAUCUGUAGAAAACAUAGGACAAGAUUUUCCCAGGAUAGCGAGUAAAAUCCCAAAUUUAGAUUUGCAAAAUUCACAGACAGGAGCUUCACCUUGCUUUGAUCCAAAUCCUUCAGAAUUGUGCCAGGAAAUCCUGGCAAAUGCUCCACUAGAACUGUGGGACACCUCCAGCUUCCCGCUUCUUGUUGGACAAGAUGAGAUUGUUACUGGAGACUCAGAAGGGAUUCAGGACCGUGCACUGCUGCAGCACUUUGAUCCACAGCACCAGGCUCCGAAGGCUGCAGAAGAUACAUUUGGAUGGGGUUUUAGUGCUGAAGACUCAAUAAACAAACACCUCUCUAUGCAGGAAGGCAGUUUUCCUCCACUGUACAUGGUCACCAGCCAUGCUUCUGAAAAACCUUAUCAAAGUCUCUUUGAUCCCUUUCAUGUUGAUUCAGACCAAAUUGGCCAGGAUGUUCCUGCAAAAAUGGAUGGGAGCAGAAAAAUGUCAGAAGCUGAAGAAGCUCACGGAAGUCUCUCCUCUGCAGACCCAAAUGUGUUCAGUGAUGACCUUUUAAACCAGGAGUUCUUUAUAUAG
rnacentral:lncRNA from 1 species